rfam:Zea mays cultivar B73 chromosome 1, whole genome shotgun sequence.
GCUUGUCUAGCUUAGUUGGCAGAGCGCAAGGCUCUUAACCUUAAGGUCGUGGUUUCGAGCCCCACCGUGAGCG